AAAGCACCCCGGAAGGGGAGUGAAAUAGAACCUGAAACCGUGUGCUUACAAGUAGUCAGAGCCCGUUAAUGGGUGAUGGCGUGCCUUUUGUAGAAUGAACCGGCGAGUUACGAUUUGAUGCAAGGUUAAGCAGUAAAUGUGGAGCCGUAGCGAAAGCGAGUCUGAAUAGGGCGUUUAGUAUUUGGUCGUAGACCCGAAACCAGGUGAUCUACCCUUGGUCAGGUUGAAGUUCAGGUAACACUGAAUGGAGGACCGAACCGACUUACGUUGAAAAGUGAGCGGAUGAACUGAGGGUAGCGGAGAAAUUCCAAUCGAACCUGGAGAUAGCUGGUUCUCUCCGAAAUAGCUUUAGGGCUAGCCUCAAGUGAUGAUUAUUGGAGGUAGAGCACUGUUUGGACGAGGGGCCCCUCUCGGGUUACCGAAUUCAGACAAACUCCGAAUGCCAAUUAAUUUAACUUGGGAGUCAGAACAUGGGUGAUAAGGUCCGUGUUCGAAAGGGAAACAGCCCAGACCACCAGCUAAGGUCCCAAAAUAUAUGUUAAGUGGAAAAGGAUGUGGCGUUGCCCAGACAACUAGGAUGUUGGCUUAGAAGCAGCCAUCAUUUAAAGAGUGCGUAAUAGCUCACUAGUCGAGUGACACUGCGCCGAAAAUGUACCGGGGCUAAACAUAUUACCGAAGCUGUGGAUUGUCCUUUGGACAAUGGUAGGAGAGCGUUCUAAGGGCGUUGAAGCAUGAUCGUAAGGACAUGUGGAGCGCUUAGAAGUGAGAAUGCCGGUGUGAGUAGCGAAAGACGGGUGAGAAUCCCGUCCACCGAUUGACUAAGGUUUCCAGAGGAAGGCUCGUCCGCUCUGGGUUAGUCGGGUCCUAAGCUGAGGCCGACAGGCGUAGGCGAUGGAUAACAGGUUGAUAUUCCUGUACCACCUAUAAUCGUUUUAAUCGAUGGGGGGACGCAGUAGGAUAGGCGAAGCGUGCGAUUGGAUUGCACGUCUAAGCAGUAAGGCUGAGUAUUAGGCAAAUCCGGUACUCGUUAAGGCUGAGCUGUGAUGGGGAGAAGACAUUGUGUCUUCGAGUCGUUGAUUUCACACUGCCGAGAAAAGCCUCUAGAUAGAAAAUAGGUGCCCGUACCGCAAACCGACACAGGUAGUCAAGAUGAGAAUUCUAAGGUGAGCGAGCGAACUCUCGUUAAGGAACUCGGCAAAAUGACCCCGUAACUUCGGGAGAAGGGGUGCUCUUUAGGGUUAACGCCCAGAAGAGCCGCAGUGAAUAGGCCCAAGCGACUGUUUAUCAAAAACACAGGUCUCUGCUAAACCGUAAGGUGAUGUAUAGGGGCUGACGCCUGCCCGGUGCUGGAAGGUUAAGAGGAGUGGUUAGCUUCUGCGAAGCUACGAAUCGAAGCCCCAGUAAACGGCGGCCGUAACUAUAACGGUCCUAAGGUAGCGAAAUUCCUUGUCGGGUAAGUUCCGACCCGCACGAAAGGCGUAACGAUUUGGGCACUGUCUCAACGAGAGACUCGGUGAAAUCAUAGUACCUGUGAAGAUGCAGGUUACCCGCGACAGGACGGAAAGACCCCGUGGAGCUUUACUGUAGCCUGAUAUUGAAAUUCGGCACAGCUUGUACAGGAUAGGUAGGAGCCUUUGAAACGUGAGCGCUAGCUUACGUGGAGGCGCUGGUGGGAUACUACCCUAGCUGUGUUGGCUUUCUAACCCGCACCACUUAUCGUGGUGGGAGACAGUGUCAGGCGGGCAGUUUGACUGGGGCGGUCGCCUCCUAAAAGGUAACGGAGGCGCUCAAAGGUUCCCUCAGAAUGGUUGGAAAUCAUUCAUAGAGUGUAAAGGCAUAAGGGAGCUUGACUGCGAGACCUACAAGUCGAGCAGGGUCGAAAGACGGACUUAGUGAUCCGGUGGUUCCGCAUGGAAGGGCCAUCGCUCAACGGAUAAAAGCUACCCCGGGGAUAACAGGCUUAUCUCCCCCAAGAGUUCACAUCGACGGGGAGGUUUGGCACCUCGAUGUCGGCUCAUCGCAUCCUGGGGCUGUAGUCGGUCCCAAGGGUUGGGCUGUUCGCCCAUUAAAGCGGUACGCGAGCUGGGUUCAGAACGUCGUGAGACAGUUCGGUCCCUAUCCGUCGUGGGCGUAGGAAAUUUGAGAGGAGCUGUCCUUAGUACGAGAGGACCGGGAUGGACAUACCUCUGGUGUACCAGUUGUCGUGCCAACGGCAUAGCUGGGUAGCUAUGUGUGGACGGGAUAAGUGCUGAAAGCAUCUAAGCAUGAAGCCCCCCUCAAGAUGAGAUUUCCCAACUUCGGUUAUAAGAUCCCUCAAAGAUGAUGAGGUUAAUAGGUUCGAGGUGGAAGCAUGGUGACAUGUGGAGCUGACGAAUACUAAUCGAUCGAAGACUUAAUCAA
rnacentral:rRNA from 1 species